UACGUAGGGGGGCAAGCGUUGUCCGGAUUUAUUGGGCGUAAAGAGCGUGUAGGCGGCUUUACAGGUCCGUUGUGAAAACUCGAGGCUCAACCUCGAGACGCCGGUGGAAACCGUAAAGCUAGAGUCCGGAAGAGGAGAGUGGAAUUCCUGGUGUAGCGGUGAAAUGCGCAGAUAUCAGGAGGAACACCCGUGGCGAAGGCAAUCCCCUGGGCCUGCACUGACGCUCAUGCACGAAAGCGUGGGGAGCAAACAGG
rnacentral:rRNA from 1 species